rnacentral:rRNA from 1 species
UACGGAAGGCAGCAGUGGGGAAUAUUGCACAAUGGGCGCAAGCCUGAUGCAGCCAUGCCGCGUGUAUGAAGAAGGCCUUCGGGUUGUAAAGUACUUUCAGUCGUGAGGAAGGUGUUAAGGUUAAUAACCUUAGCAAUUGACGUUAGCGACAGAAGAAGUACCGGCUAACUCCGUGCCAGCAGCCGCGGUAAUACGGAGGGUGCGAGCGUUAAUCGGAAUUACUGGGCGUAAAGGGCACGCAGGCGGUUAAUUAAGUUGGAUGUGAAAUCCCCGGGCUUAACCUGGGAAUGGCAUUCAAGACUGGUUAGCUAGAGUCUUGUAGAGGGGGUAGAAUUCCAUGUGUAGCGGUGAAAUGCGUAGAGAUGUGGAGGAAUACCGGUGGCGAAGGCGGCCCCUGGACAAAGGCUGACGCUCAUGUGCGAAACGUGGGGAGCAAACAGGAUUAGAUACC